CAGGUAUGAUGACAAAAUUUGUGUAAAAGCCAAUAGUCGAUGUAUACCCAGAACAGAAAUGAUGCUAAGACAGAGGCAGAUACAGUGUGGGAAGUCAUGUGACAGAUGGCUUUGACGCAGAAUGUUAUUGUGGUGGCUUGGUCCAAGUUAUGUAUUCUGACAUAAAUGGUAAAGCAGAGGCAGACAGCUAGUGUGUGGCAUUCAUGUAAAUUGCUUUACUAGAAGCCUUGCACAGACAGAAAUAAAGCAAAGGCAUGAAGAGAAAAAGGCAGUUAUAGAAGUUCAGUCCAUGAAAAUAGCCGAGACAGUCGGCAUAUAGAUAGAGACAGUUGAAAAGCAGACAGUCAUGACUUGCAUGGAGCGACAGUUAAGGGAAGUAAGAUGAUAAGCUGGAGAAAAUGUGUGUGAAAAAAAGUUCUGAAAAGACUGAGAAAACAGACACAGCAAGAACAUAAUUAUUAACAUAUCAGAAAUAAAAACUUGAAAGGAAAUAUGAAAAUUUAUUUCUGAUCUCAUGUAAUAAAACACUGAGAAGCGUGCCAGUCAAAAGUCCAAACAGACCACAAGUUGAAAACAGAAACAUUUAUCUAGAAGUGAUCAUUGAGUAUAGCACAUGUCAGAAGUAAACACAUGUAUGUAGUAUAGAGUAGAGGAAAAGUCAGUAUACAUGGUAGAAAGCAUGUUUGAAGCAGAGGAGGGCUACGUUUGAGUAAAUGAAACAGUAGUUAAUUAUGAACAGGCAGCUUCAGUUUAUACUGGUGGUGUUUGAGCAAAUGCAAGGUUCAGCCAGGAGGAUGAGACAUUCAAGUUCCUGAAAGAUGCAGGGUUUUAAGGAAUGGACAACACAACAAUGGGCCCAGUCUACAGGUUGUACCUACAGGAAUAAUAAUUAUGACAAGAAAGAUGGUUCUCUAUCUGUUGUUCAACAAGCAACAUCAACAGGUCAUGUUCUGAGAAAAUGAUCCAAAACAAGUUGGCUGAUUUAAUGUCUUUAAAUAUACACCAUUGGGAUUGAAUAGAGGCAGACUUACUGUAUAAAGUGUUUGCUUUGAAGAAUAGACAGUCUGGCAGAAUCAGCGUCAGAUUGUGGGUUUGAAGAUUGAACAUUUCUGGAGAACAUGUGAAUAUUUGUACAU
rnacentral:lncRNA from 1 species